rnacentral:rRNA from 1 species
UACGUAGGGGGCAAGCGUUGUCCGGAUUCAUUGGGCGUAAAGAGCUCGUAGGCGGUUCAGCAAGUCGGGUGUGAAACCUCCAGGCUCAACCUGGAGACGCCACCCGAUACUGCUGUGACUUGAGUCCGGUAGGGGACCACGGAAUUCCUGGUGUAGCGGUGAAAUGCGCAGAUAUCAGGAAGAACACCCGUGGCUAAGGCGGCUCUCUAGUACGGUACUGACGCUGAGACGCGAAAGCGUGGGGAGCAAACAGG